UUAAUUUUCCCACCACCAGCGCGUGAAGUCCACCAGAAUACUUGGAAGUAUUCUAGUUCUAGCUAGUGCGACAGUGACUGACGAGUGGAAAACGGCUAACUUUAUUUAGACAGACUGAAGGUGUUUUGGCUUACUGAAAACGAGGUCAAUGCUAAUGAAUGGACAGCUUUGUAAAGAUACACCGAAUGAGGGAACCAGGCACCUUUGAUUCCAAAGUUUGAGGCGGAGGAGAUGGAGCAGGAAAGCCUCUUGCUUUGGAUGACUUGACUAUGGCCUGAAGUUAAAGAAGAACAUAAAUACCUUACAAGCAUCAAAUGUGAGACGGCAGCCCACGUGACGCAACAUCUGGCCGGCAAACCAGGUUGCGGAGAACCUGAAGGAGACCGCAAUCGAGAGGGUUCAGUGGACCAGACCGAAUGGGGCCAAGACAGUCUGAGUAUCCACAUUUGUUAAUACAAUAUUUGCUCAAAUAUUGUGCUGUUUUUUCCUCUUAGGGUUGACACCUCUCAUUGGUUGGAUUUUAAAAUUAGAAAACAGCAUUGGGUGUGGCUACGGUGUGAACAUGUGGAUCUGAGCAAGUGUGAUGUCAUACAUUUUUGUGGAUAUGUACUGUAUGUAAAUGUUAAGUUGUGUAUUGUUUUUGUCAAUGUAUGUUUUGUUAAAAAAAAGAAGUUAAAUAACAUAUUACAGAAAAAGUCAUUCAUCUGUCACUACAGAUUGCUCAGGACUUCUACAAUUUAAACCCGGACUGCUCGGGGAAACUGACUAAUAGCUGGAUCGCGGUUUACAAGGAGAAAAAAAGUUCGCUUCGCCAGCCCAGAGAGAAGCAGGCCCAAGAUCUUCUCUUCAAAGUGCAGAUACACAAGGUGAUGUGAUGGAAAAUGUUAUGAAGGGUGAGGGAAAUUCCCAUCUGACCAAAAGAGGACAUGUAAUGGAUUGCCAUGGAACGCCCCGCUGACAGCUGUCUGUAGGCAUUCAUAAGAGAAGUGUUUACAUGGUCUGCAGCCACUGAUAAUAGCACAACGUGUAUAUAAAGAUAUAUAUGGUGCAUAGGAAGUAACAACAGGAGAAUCGUUGAAGAUGCUCAUGAGGUAAUAAGGGAGAUUACCGAGUGUGUUUGGGAAUAGUACUAAGUGAAUGUGGAUGUGAGAGUUGAAAGAGUGCGUGUGAAAGAGGUGCGUGUCUGAAAGAAUACCCCAACCAGUUCUGUAACCUGAGUUUAUGUUAUCUAGAGUUAUUAUAUAUGUAUAGGAAGUAGCGGCAAGCUAGUCUUAGGAGAAGGCUGUGAGGGCAGGAGUGAGGGCAGGAGGCCCCACUGACAAUUGUCUGUGGGUAUUCAUAAGAAGUGUCUACGUGGUCUGAGAACCACUGUCUAGUCUUAGGAGAAGGCUAGAGUGAGGCCAGAGGCGCCAGUUAUCUGUAGGCAUUUAUAAGAGAAGAGUCUACGUGGUCGGAGAACCACUGGAACCGUUGAAGAUCCAUGUGGUGAAUACCUAAGAAGUGUGUAUGUGUGUCUGCAGCCACUACUAAUAGAACAUGUGUAACGAUAGACUACGUGGUCUGAGAACCACUGAUAAUAGCACAAGGUGUUAUUGUAGGCAUUUAGAGUCGUUGAUGCACAUGAGUGGUGUGGAUGUCUGUAGGCAUUUAUGAUCUAUAACAUUAUAAAGGGAUUCUGUAUAGAGAUAUGAAAGAAGAGGACUAUUCCCAAAUAUGCUGUUAAAUAGAACACUAGAGUGUUUAAAUAUUUAAACCCCUGUAUGAAUACAACACUGGUGUAGAGGAGGAAUUUGUGAUGUAACACUAAUGUAUAGUGGGUUACUAGAGAUAAAGUAACAUAAUAUUGAUUAUAAUGGGUUACUAGAGAUCUGAUGAAAAAUACAAUUAUAAUAUACAAUUUGCACACCCACACAUAUGUAAGUUGUGUAAAAAGUAUUCUGAGAAAUGUUCAGAGCGGUCCCUUUAUUGAUAAAGACAAGGUUAAAGCAUUGUACGGCACUUGACUUACCCCUAACCAAUAAAACUAUAAACAUCCCUAACCAAUAAAACUAUAAACACUGAUGAGAUUUCCUCCAUCCUGGUAAUAUAUUUUGAAAUAAACCCCAUACCCUGUUAAAUAGACCCAAUGAUUUUCUGUAUUCACCUACUCAACCAUUUAACUUGCUAGGUAGAGACUUAUUAUGGACAGAGCACAAUGCCAUCUACAGGGGACUGAUAGACAGUGCCAGCUCAGUUAAUACAUAUAGAUCCCUCCAAAGUAUUACGUAUGAAUGUUAAAAUAGUAGUCAUUUAAUAAAUAUUGAAGCAGAAAGUGAAUAUCCAACAGAGAUUGGUAAUAAAAAAUUAUCACAA